CUCCAGCAUUCUGGUGGGCCUCUUUUCCUGGUGGAGAUGUCUAAGAGAGAGGUCAGUGGUACAAACUAUAAUCCUCACAACUGAAGACUCAGGCCUGUGAGUGGAGGAAGAUCUAAGAAGAACUUACCUUUGGAUGAACUAUUUUCAACUAUGGCCUCUUAGGAGACUGUGGUCUCCGCCUGCUCUAAUCCCAGUAAGGAGAACACCUGUCCCCCAGGUGUUGCUAACUGCUCAUUGUCUUUUCCACAGGACCAGGCUGCAGCCAGGGCCCAGGCCACAGAAACCAACUCUGAACAAGUAGCUGGGGUAGAGAAUAGGAAUCAAAGAAAUAACUGAGGAGACGAGGCCAACAGAAAGAUUGAAUGAGGAAAUCUGGGAGGAGCCUAACAAGAAGAACACGUGGAUUUUCUUU